rnacentral:rRNA from 1 species
UACGUAGGGUGCGAGCGUUGUCCGGAAUUAUUGGGCGUAAAGAGCUCGUAGGCGGUCUGUCGCGUCGGUCGUGAAAACUUGGGGCUUAACCCUGAGCUUGCGGUCGAUACGGGCAUGACUGGAGUUCGGUAGGGGAGACUGGAAUUCCUGGUGUAGCGGUGAAAUGCGCAGAUAUCAGGAGGAACACCGGUGGCGAAGGCGGGUCUCUGGGCCGAUACUGACGCUGAGGAACGAAAGCGUGGGGAGCGAACAGG